rnacentral:rRNA from 1 species
AGAGUUUGAUCCUGGCUCAGGAUGAACGCUAGCGAUAGGCUUAACACAUGCAAGUCGAGGGGCAGCAUGGCCAGCAAUGGAUGAUGGCGACCGGCGGACGGGUGCGUAACACGUAAGCAACCUGCCUGAUAGUGGGAGAUACCCUACGGAAACGUAGAUUAAUAUCCCAUAACAUUUUUUGACUGCAUGUUAUAUAAAUCAAACCUUCAGGGGUAACGGAUGGGCUCGCGUUACAUUAGCCAGAUGGUGAGGUAACGGCUCACCAUACCAAUGAUGUCAUAGGGGUUUUGAAAAGAAAGCCCCCCACACUGGGAACUGAGACACGGGUCCAGACUCCUACGGGAGGCAGCAGUGAGGAAAUAUGGACCAUGGAUCGAAAUACUGAUCCAGCCAUGCCGCGUGCAGGAAGACGGCCUUAUGGGUUGUAAACUUCUUUUACAGGGGAGCAAUGUGCGUCACGUGUAAUGUGAUGUGUGUACUUUAUGAAUAAGGAUCGGCUAACUCCGUGCCAGCAGCCGCGGUAAUACGGAGGAUCCGAGCGUUAUCCGGAUUUAUUGGGUUUAAAGGGUGCGUAGGCGGACAUGUAAGUCAGCGGUGAAAUCUUGCAGCUUAACUGUAGCAUAGCCGUUGAUACUGUUUGUCUAGGAUACAUUUGUAGUAGGCGGAAUGUGUGUGUGUAGCGGUGAAAUGCAUAGAUAUCCCACAGAACACCGAUUGCGAAGGCAGCACACUAAGUCAUCAUUGACGCUGAGGCACGAAAGUGUGGGAUCAAACAGGAUUAGAUACCCUGGUAGUCCACACUGUA